UAGAGUUUGAUCCUGGCUCAGAACGAACGCUGGCGGCAUGCCUAACACAUGCAAGUCGAACGAUGCUUUCGGGCAUAGUGGCGCACGGGUGCGUAACGCGUGGGAAUCUGCCCUUGGGUCUGGGAUAACAGUUGGAAACGACUGCUAAUACCGGAUGAUAUCGCGAGAUCAAAGAUUUAUCGCCCGAGGAUGAGCCCGCGUCAGAUUAGCUAGUUGGUGGGGUAAAGGCCUACCAAGGCGACGAUCUGUAGCUGGUCUGAGAGGAUGAUCAGCCACACUGGGACUGAGACACGGCCCAGACUCCUACGGGAGGCAGCAGUGGGGAAUAUUGGACAAUGGGCGAAAGCCUGAUCCAGCAAUGCCGCGUGAGUGAUGAAGGCCUUAGGGUUGUAAAGCUCUUUUACCCGGGAUGAUAAUGACAGUACCGGGAGAAUAAGCCCCGGCUAACUCCGUGCCAGCAGCCGCGGUAAUACGGAGGGGGCUAGCGUUGUUCGGAAUUACUGGGCGUAAAGCGCACGUAGGCGGCUUUGUAAGUCAGGGGUGAAAGCCUGGAGCUCAACUCCAGAACUGCCUUUGAGACUGCAUCGCUUGAAUCCGGGAGAGGUAAGUGGAAUUCCGAGUGUAGAGGUGAAAUUCGUAGAUAUUCGGAAGAACACCAGUGGCGAAGGCGGCUUACUGGACCGGGAUUGACGCUGAGGUGCGAAAGCGUGGGGGAGCAAACAGGAUUAGAUACCCUGGUAGUCCACGCCGUAAACGAUGAUAACUAGCUGUCCGGGGACUUGGUCUUUGGGUGGCGCAGCUAACGCAUUAAAGUUAUCCCGCCUGGGGGAGUACGGCCGCAAGGGUUAAAAACUCAAAGGAAGUUGACGGGGCGCCUGCAACGAAGCGGUGNAGCCAUGAUGGUUUUAAAUUCGUAGCAAACGCCGCUAGANNUUACCAGCGGUUGGANCAUGUCGGGACGAAUUCAGAGAUGNAUUUCNUCCNNUCGGGACNNANCNNNUUGCUGCAUNNNNNCGUCAGC
rnacentral:rRNA from 1 species